UACGUAGGGUGCGAGCGUUGUCCGGAAUUAUUGGGCGUAAAGAGCUCGUAGGCGGUGUGUCGCGUCGGCCGUGAAAACCUGCAGCUUAACUGUGGGCUUGCGGUCGAUACGGGCAUCACUAGAGUUCGGCAGGGGAGACUGGAAUUCCUGGUGUAGCGGUGAAAUGCGCAGAUAUCAGGAGGAACACCGGUGGCGAAGGCGGCAUCCUGGACCGGCAUUGACGCUGAGGCGCGAAAGCCAGGGGAGCAAACGGG
rnacentral:rRNA from 1 species